AUCUCUGGAAUAAGCCCUUCAAUAAAUGUAUCCAGAAGUUGUCGGUUCGACCAAUCUCUAGCUUGAUUUGAUAAUCUUUCAAACCUACUCUGAUAUUCUAACACUGUAGAAGUUUGAUGAAUUUUGGCGAGCUGGCAAUCAACAUUCUCAUAUUCGGAUGGGCCAAAGCGAACAAGAAGCCCUCUUUUGAACUGCUCCCACGAAGGAACUCCGUGAAAAGUUUCAUACCAAUCGUACCACUAGAGUGCAUCUCCCUCGAGUUGGAUUGAGGCCACUUCUACCUUGGAUUCUUCUAGGGUUCUGUGAAAACGAAAAACAUUUUCUGCCUUAGAGAUCCAAUUGGUCGGAUCUCCAUCUUUCCAUCUCGGAAAUUCCAUCUUCAUGUGUGAGUAAUUUGUGUCAUAAUCUUGGGGCCCUUUUCCUGUAUUUUCAGAUCUGUGCAACAUAGAACUUGAGCCUCCAUUUUGUUGAAAUUUGCUAAGGCUCUCCAGUAGGCUCUUUUUGAAAUCAUUAAGUGUUUCUUGCAGUCGGUUCUCAAUUCUGAUUUCCAAUGCUUCCAUUUGUGCUUUCACCGAGUUAUUAGUGGCCAUUGCGUAAGACUGUAAAUAUGUAAUCUCAAC
rnacentral:lncRNA from 1 species